GCCGGGCGUUGUGGCGGGCGCCUGUAGUCCCAGCUACUUGGGAGGCUGAGGCAAGAGAAUUGCUUAAGCCCAAGAGUUGGAGGUUGCUGUGAGCUGUGAUGCCAUAGUACUCUACAGAGGGCGACAUAGUGACACUGUGUCUCAAAAAAAAAAAUUAUUUAUUUAUUUUGAGACUGAAACUCACUCUGUUGCCCUGGGUAGAGUGCCAUGGCAUCAUUAUAGUUCACAGCAACCUCAGUCUCUUGGGCUCAAGUGAUUCUCUUGCCUCAG
rnacentral:SRP_RNA from 1 species